rnacentral:rRNA from 1 species
UACAGAGGUCUCGAGCGUUUGUUCGGAUUCAUUGGGCGUAAAGGGCGCGUAGGCGGCGGGGCAAGUCGGGUGUGAAAUCUCAGAGCUCAACUCUGAAACUGCACUCGAUACUGCUUUGCUUGAGGACUGGAGAGGAGAUUGGAAUUCGACGGUGUAGCAGUGAAAUGCGUAGAUAUCGUGAGGAAGACCAGUGGCGAAGGCGGAUCU